rnacentral:snoRNA from 1 species
UGGAUCAAUGAUGACUGCUGGUGGCGUAUGAGUCUUCUACGAUGAAUACGUGUCUGGAACUCUGAGGUCCAU